ACUUGUGUGUUCUUUAGAGGACAAUGAGAAGGACACAGGUGAGGAAAUGAAUCGCAGGAGCAAGAGAUGCAGGCCUGAGAGGACAUCCGAGAAGAUGCAAUCUGAUUGGGCAAAGAUGAAAGAGCGUCUCUCUACACUCAGACAAGUGAGAAUGACUUCUCCCGGUGUAUUUAAGUAUCAUAUGAAGAGUAUUUUGAGAAAUGUUUUCAUGUCAAAUUUAUACAUUCCCUGUAAACAUGUGUAUGCAACAUCAUUUGUGUGUCUGGUUUAGAAAUGUGAGAAAAAGGAGCAGACACUACAGAAGAAGAAGACUCAGUUAAAAGAUGUUGAGCUCUCCCUCUCUGAACUUCAACAGAGAAGAAAGAAUGCCUCGCAGGAAUUGGAGCGACUGACUGUGGAGACGGCAACAAUGGAGAAGGAGAAGAGGACUCUGGAGUUUGUGCUGAGAGACAGUAGGGCAGGGAAGGAUUCUAUUAGGUAUAAAACAAACAGUAUUAUACAACUCUGUAUACAUCAACAUGGUCACAUCACAUUGCAUCAACAUAAUCCUGUGCUGUAUAAAGGAUAGCAAUUGUGUUGUAGUUGCCAGCUGCAUGAGCUGCAGAGGCAGAGAGAGUCCUGUAUCCUCGAGGUAAGAGACCUGGAAGAAGAACUUGCAACCCUGAGUCAAUGUAAGCAGACUCUGAAGGAUGGAGCCUUCCUGGAGAGGCCCGGCAGUGUCUUCAUGUCAGUGCUGGAGAGGGAGGAGAUGGAAAGACAGCUGGAUAACGCCAAAACAGAACUGUUUUCUGAACAGCGACGUGCACGAGAGAAGCUUGAGUCCAUGCAAGAAAAGUUGGAGGAGACCUGUGAGGAGCUCAAGAGGGUCACCGAGGCUGAGAGCUUACUGAGGAACAGCUGUGAUUGUCUGGAGGAGAAACGGAGGCAGAAAAAGAAUCAGAUUGAGGUGGCACCUGAUGACAGCAUUUCAAUUCAAAUAUGUAUCUAUUAAGCAAAUGACACACUGUCAACAUCCAGUUUGUGUUUAUCAAAAUGUUCUAACUAUCCCUUCUAUUUCUGGUGUAUCUCUCUCUGUCAGGCAGAGGAGUUCCAAGUAGGCGAGCUGCGGGGUGAACUGGGAGAAUGCAAGAUCAGAGUGGGCACUCAGGAGAAGAUGUUGGCCCAGAAGGAGCUGCAGCUGCUAGAUUUACAGGAGCAACUCGGGGCCUUAAAAGCAGAACGAGAUGGACUGAAGGGGGAGCUACAACACCUGAACACCCAGCACUGCAAUGCACGGAAAGAGGCCCACGAGAAAGCUCAUAGAAUGAUAGUAAGUGCUGUGGUUUAAGAGUCUACAAGCGAUAGUGUUUCAAGUCAUUACAGUUCCUAUUUGUUUUUAUCCAGGAAGCAGCAUUGAAGCAGCAAAAAAAAGAAUUGGCUUUGACUCAUGAGCAGCACGUCCAAAAGGUUACACGCAUGUCUGCGAAACUAAAAUAUUGAUUUUUCAAAUGACAUCAUCACAGUUUGAUUAAUGAUGUAGCAAUCCUUCUGGCUGUCGUGUCCUCAGGUUAAUAAGCAGACAGAAGAGGAGAAGGCUUUAAAAGAACAAGCUCUCUCCCAAACACGAUACAUUGAGUCCUUGAAAAGUUCCAUUAAGGUCAGUAUGUUUCCCUAAACAUAUGAAAUCCACUGUUACACUAUAUAAGUGUAAACUAUUUGGUGAACUGUUUUAUCCAAGUACCCUGCACUGACAAUAAUGCAGGUAGUGUUAAGUUUGUGUGGCAUUCGUGGGUAUGAAAACCCAACUUUUCUGUGUUAUCUUCAUGAUUAUAGCACUAUACGUAGAGUAAGUACACACUGUUCAUGUGAUCCUCUCCUAUUCUGGCAGCUAAAAGACAAAGAGGCAAAGAAGCUGAGGGAUUCUCUGGAGCAGCAGCAGCAGGAGGCAGAGAAGCAGCAUCUACAAGCCUUGGAAAAGGUACUCUGAUAAUCCUCUUCCUAAAAUAUACAAUAUUAUUUGCAACAUGAUUGCAUGUUAUACACACUAUGCUCUCAUUUAGGUGCACACCAUAAUAGAGGAGGAGAGGAGGAGGUGGGAGGCAGAACAAGUGGAAGCAGUGCAGGUGCACUGUGGGAUACUGGAAGAGCAGAAUAAAAAGAGCUUGGACAGCAUGAGGAGUGAGAUGCAGCGAGAGAAGAGUAAAGCUCUGGCUCUCCAAUAUAAAGUGGUGAAACUAAAAACUGUAAGGUGACUCCCAUCCAUGACAACAUUGCCAUCUUAAAUAAAUCAGAAAUGUAUUCUUAUUGUAUUCUGAUUUUCAUUCUCUUUUAUG
rnacentral:lncRNA from 1 species